UACGAAAGGGGCUAGCGUUGCUCGGAAUCACUGGGCGUAAAGGGUGCGUAGGCGGGUCUUUAAGUCAGGGGUGAAAUCCUGGAGCUCAACUCCAGAACUGCCUUUGAUACUGAAGAUCUUGAGUUCGGGAGAGGUGAGUGGAACUGCGAGUGUAGAGGUGAAAUUCGUAGAUAUUCGCAAGAACACCAGUGGCGAAGGCGGCUCACUGGCCCGAUACUGACGCUGAGGCACGAAAGCGUGGGGAGCGAACAGG
rnacentral:rRNA from 1 species